UUACUCUCAUCAGUUUGGUGUAUGUUUACACCUGCAAGAUGUGCGAUUAUUUGUUAUUUUGAAUGUAGGUGUGACAUUUGACAUAAUCUGUUCGGAUCUGAGAGGUUAAUUUUAGAAUAAAAUAAAAACAAAAAAUGAAAAAAUUGUGCGGAGUUUGGAAUAGAAAGGUUCCGGAUCCGAAAGGUUUUUUAUUAUUGAAAAUAGAACGAAUAAAAUCGGGACCGAUCACUUCCUUUGGAUAAGAAAGGAUUCUGGAAUAGAAGGGUUCAGAUUAGCAAGGCUCCACUGUAAUUCAUUUGGUAUGGAAUUUUUUUUUAAAUAAUUAAUAGUGAAAUGCAAAAAGAAAUUGUGGUUGUUAUAUAUAAUGGUGUAAACAAUUUAGAUUUACUGGUAUGUCUUUUUGCACAAAAGUGUCCAUUAAAGACAUUUGUAGAUGUAUGACUCACAUUCAGUGAUAGUUCUAGUUUGAUUGAGGAUAUCAAUUUGUCUGUUUUUGUAAGAGAUUCAAUAUCAUAUCAUGUUGAACAAAUCAGUUAUCUUUUAUAUCUCAUUAAACCUCUUUGACCCAUGAGAAGUUAUCUUUAAGAGUAAUAUCUAUGCUUUUAUAUUUUAACAGUGACUGGCUUUUAAAAGACUAACAUAUACUCCUAAUACAACAGAAUAAAUGUGCUCAGAAAUUAGCAAGAUUUUGUGAUAAUUGUUAAAGGCAGCUGAUAUUGUGUGUUUUGUUUAAGAAGAAUGUGUUAAUUUGUUAUCAUUUUUCAUGUGCUCUAGAUUUUGUCAGUUUUGAAUAUCUUUUCAUAGUUUAUAUAACCAAAUCAUUUGUGAUGUGUAAUUGAUUUUUUUUCUCUUAAAAUUUUUAUCAUUUGUGUUUUUGUAUUUUUGAGUCACCUUGACCUUGAAAAGGAGACAUAUAGGGGUUACUUUUGUCAGCGGUGUCGGCGUCCCCUAAAGUUUGUCCGGAGCAUAACUCAGUCACUAUAAGUUGGAUUGACUUCAAACUUGGUAUGCAUGCUUCUUUCAAUAACCCGAAGUGCAGUGCACAAGGACCGGUACUCUGCACUUCUUAUGAGUUAUUGCCCUUUGUUAGUUUUCAUACUUUAAUUUUGUUCGGGCUAUUUCUCUUCAACUAUAAAAGCUAUGGACUUGAAACUUUAUAGGAUGAUAGAUCUCAUUAAGAAGAAGUGCAGUGCACAAGAACCGGUAAUCUGCACUUCCUUAUUUUUAUGCCCCCGCCAUGUAAUGGCCGGGGCAUAUAGUGUUACCCUGUUCCGUCCUUCCGUCAUUCCGUCCUUCCGUCAUUCUGUCAUUCCGUCAUCAUCAGUUUCCGUUCAUUAUCUCCCCAACGGUACAACACAUUCAACUUAAAUUUGACAUAUGGAUAUGUCAUGAGAAAAUACAGGUCAAGUUCGAAUUUGGUCAUGGUUCGAUGAUUUUUGGCAGAGUUGUGCCCCUUUUACUUUGAAAAUAAUAUGAAAUUUUCAGUUUCCGUUCAUUAUCUCCCAAACGGUAUAACACAUUCAACUCAAAUUUGACAUAUGGAUAUGUCAUGAGAAAAUACAGGUCAAGUUCGAAUUUGGUCAUGGUUCGAUGAUUUUUGGCAGAGUUAUGCCCCUUUUACUUUGAAAAUAAUAUGAAAUUUUCCGUUUCCGUUCAUUAUCUCCCCAACGGUACAACACAUUCAAACCAAAUUUGACAUAUGGAUAUGUCAUGAGAAAAUACAGGUCAAGUUCGAAUUUGGUCAUGGUUCGAUGAUUUUUGGCAGAGUUAUGCCCCUUUUACUUUGAAAAUAAUAUGAAAUUUUCAGUUUCCGUUCAUUAUCUCCCCAACGGUACAACACAUUCAACUCAAACUUGACAUAUGGAUAUGUCAUGAGAAAAUACAUGUCAAGUUCGAAUUUGGUCAUGGUUCGAUGAUUUUUGGCAAAGUUAUGCCCCUUUUACUUUAAAAUAAUAUGAAAUUUUCAGUUUCCGUUCAUUAUCUCCCCAACGGUACAACACAUUCAACUCAAAUUUGACAUAUGGAUAUGUCAUGAGAAAAUACAGGUAAAGUUCGAAUUUGGUCAUGGUUCGAUGAUUUUUGGCAGAGUUAUGCCCCUUUUACUUUGUAAAUAAUAUGAAAUUUUCAGUUUCCGUUCAUUAUCUCCCCAACAGUACAACACAUUCAACUCAAAUUUGACAUAUGGAUAUGUUUCUGGAAUGCCCAGGCCAAUUUCGAAUUUGGUCAUGGUUCAAUGAUUUUUGGCAGAGUAAUGCCCCUUUCACUUUGAAAAUAAUAUGAAAUUUACAGUUUCUGUUCAUUAUCUACCCAACAGUGUUACAUAUUCAACUCAAAUUUGACAUAUGGAUAUGUCAAAGGAAUGGGCAGGUCAAGUUGGAAUUUGGUCAUGGUUCGAUGAUUUUUUGGCAGAGUUAUGUCCCUUUCACUUUGAAAAUAAUAUAAAUACGUCUUAGGAAUAAGCAGUUUAAGUUUGAAUUUGGUCAUGGUUUAAUGAUUUUGGACAACCUUAUCUUUCUUGAAUAUUGGAAAAAUUUUGAACUUUUUGUUUCAGCACUCAUACUUUUGUGGAAAUGUAUGUAUAGCCAUUAUUUUGGCUACAAAUAUGAAAUAUGCUAUUUUCAAAAGGUUAAGACUGAAUAAUUUCAGUGCCUUGAAUAUUGUAUGAAAAUGGUUUGUGUUAACACUGAAAAGUUUAAAGGGCUUUGAACUUAAAAUGAAAACAAUAAUUUGUGCAAACAAAUUUGGAACUAAAUAUUAUAACAUCUGAAAUUUUGGCUGCAUGCGGGGGCAUCCGUGGCAUGAUGACACAUUUCUAGUUGAGUUUUUGCCCUUUGUUAAUUUUCAUACUUUAUUUUUGUCCAGGCCAUUUCUCCUAAUGUAUAAAAGCCAUGGACUUGAAACUUCAUAGGAUGACAGAUCUCAUUGAGAAGAAGUGCAGUGCACAAGAACCGAUAUUCUGCAUUUCUUAUUUUUUGAGUUUUGCCCUUUGUUAAUUUUCAUACUUUAUUUUUGUCCAGGCCAUUUCUCCUAAUGUAUAAAAGCUAUGGACUUGAAUUUUCACAGGAUAAUAGAUCUCAUUAAGAAGAAGUGCAGUGCACAAGAACUGGUACUCUGCAUUUCUUAUUUUUUUUUAGUUAUUGCCCUUUAUUAAUUUUCAUACUUUAUUUUUGUCCAGGUCAUUUCUCCUAAAGUAUAAAAGCUAUGGACAUGAAACUUCAUAGGAUGACAGAUCUCAUUGAGAAGAAGUGCAGUGCACAAGAACCGAUAUUCUGCAUUUCUUAUUUUUUGAGUUUUGCCCUUUGUUAAUUUUCAUACUUUAUUUUUGUCCAGGCCAUUUCUCCUAAUUUAUAAAAGCCAUGGACUUGAAACUUCAUAGGAUGACAGAUCUCAUUAAGAAAAAGUGAAGUGUACAAGAACCGGUACUCUACAUUUCUUUUUUUUUAGUAAUUACCCUUUAAUAAUUUUCAUACUUUAUUUUUGUCCAGGCCAUUUCUCAUAAAUUAUAAAAGCUAUGGACAUGAAACUUCAUAGGAUGAUAGGUCUUAUUGAUAAGAAGUGCAGUGCACAGAAACUGCUGAUCUGCAUUUCUUAUUUUUUGAGUUAUUGCCCUUUGUUAAUUUUCAUACUUUAUUUUUGUCCAGACCAUAUCUCAUAAAUUAUAAAAGCUUUAGACGAUGAUAGAUCUUAUUGAUAAGAAGUGCAGUGCACAGAAACUGCUGAUCUGCAUUUCUUAUUUUUUGAGUUAUUGCCCUUUGUGUUGAUUUUCAAAUUUCAUUUUUGUCCUGGCCAUUUCUCUUAAACUAUAUUGUUCACAAGGCGACACAUCCGACUUGCGGAGUUCUAGUUUUCUGUAAUUUGCUAAAAGUUUGUUAUUUAUGAAUGGAUGACACAACAUCUUUUAGGUCAGGACCUGAUGUAUAUCAAACUCAAAUUGCCCUUCAUUCAUGUAUGACUGAUGUUGAAGGUCAAAUCAUUGAUUUUUCACUGAUUAUAUCUAUAAUUGGCAGUAACUUGGUAAUUAAUCAGUGAAUUAUUUUCAUACUUGGACAAGACCUUCUAAAAUGUUGAUUCUUGGACAAGACCUUCUAAAAGGUUGAAAUGUUCUUGGCCUUGAGCUUUAAAUGACCUUGACCAUCAAGGUAAAAGUAUUGAAAUUUGGUUAAGUUUUGAAUUUUGAUACAGGUGGCAAAGGUGGCAAAACUGUAUGAAAAAGUCUUAUUUUUGUAAUUAACAUAACCAAAAUUAAAAAACAAUACAUUUUUAAAAUGAAAUUUAUUUAAUCCAAAAAGGAAAUUGUUUUAUAAGUCCAAUUUUUGGCAGGGUUGCACAGGUGCAAAUCCAAGUUAUAGUAUAGUGAAUGGCGGGUGACGGGCAAAUGGGGACAACAUUUUUGUAACAGUUUUCUCAGCAUCUACUUAACACAAACUCUCGAUAUUUGGUAUACAGCAUGAACACAUUGUCUCAUACUGUGGGUUUCGAUUUCAGGUCUGUGGCUCAUCCACUUCAUGUUUGCCAACUUAGUUAAAUUUUUUAUAUUAAUGGUCAAUGGUAGAAAAUUUCAUAACAUCACAGCCUCAUGAAUUUUGGUAUACAAAUGCAACCAGGUCAUUUCUGUCUUUGACCCAUUUUUUUCUGCAUUCAAUUUUUUAUCAUUGCAAUAUGUUGAAGGCAAUUUUUUUUUCAUACCUUUAAAUUUACUUCUUGGUGUGUGUUGCCCCUCCUCAGUGAAGCUCCUUUUGCAUUUGAUAAUUAAAAAAAGUCAGGUUUGGCCCAUUUUUGUGGUGGCUUGUUCUAGAAAUAAAAGCUGUUUGUGAGUAAGUUGGGGGUAUUUAUCACAUUCAGUGAUAGUUAUAGUUUAGUGUUUGUUUUGUUAUAUUUAAAGAUCGGUCUACAAUGGGCAUAUUUUCUAAUUCUGAAAAAAAAAAAAAAACAAUAGAGAUAUCAUUUGGAUAUUCUUAUUUCAAUAUUUCUUGAAAAAAAAGUUUCUAAGUGAUUUAUAAUAUGAUUAAUAAUAUUUUGUUCUAGAACAAUUCAUUAGUUAUGUAAGAUCGAUCAUGUAUCUUACUCUUACCAAGAAUAUCCAUGUAUAAUUCUUGCAUGGUUUCUUGUCACAUAUGAUAUUAAAGACUAUCAAAAACUAUCAAUUAUUUAUAGUAGUACAGACCUUCCAUUAUGGACCACUUUAAUAUCAUAGUUUAUAAUUGCAUGUAAUAUCUGUGUAAUGUAUGUAUGUAUGUGUAUGCAUAUUGUGAUAACACAAACCAUGUUAUUGUCUAUAAAGUUAAAAGAAGUUUUUAUGUAAGAAUAUGUGCAAUACUGGAACACUGUUUUUAUUGCUGAUUUUUGUCUUUUCUAUAUAUUUUAAGAUGAUACAUAUUUUAUGUUAUUAAAACAUUUCCAGUGAGAAUAAUGUAAUGUUUUUCUUUAUCAUAUGAAGUUCAUUAGAAAUAGAAAUUGUACUUUGUAUGUAAAUAUUUUAUAAAAUGCUAUUGAUUAUUA